CUUGCCAGCGUGUACUGAGAGUGAGAAAUUGAUUGUAUUGUGCGUAAAUUGUGUGAAAAAAACAAUGUCUGGAAUGAGAGAAAUUGUGUCUGUGGUGUCUGGGAGAGACGAUGGUGAGGAUGAGCGUGCUGUUGUGGAUGUGAGUGAUAGAGCAUGUGUGAGAGAGCGUGCGGAUGAUGUGUCUGAGUGUAGUGGUGGCGUGGAGAGGAGAGGAGAGAAGAGGAGGAGUAAAGUCCGAGCAGGUCCAAUCGCAAGACAAAGUGGUUGGACAAUAUCGGACUCUGGCAGUGGCAGCCACACAUCUGAGUCUGAGAGUCUGCACUCAAUGCGAGUCCACCAGCCAAAAAACAAAGAGGGACGAAAUUCACGGAGGCAGAGAACGUAGCACUGGUGGCUGCUGUUAGCACAGAAAAAUCUGUGUUAUUCAACACGACAGUGGGCACCCAGGAGAAGAUGGCCGCCUGGAGCCGGGUGAGGGAGAAAGUGUCCCAAGUUGGAAGAGGCACAGCGGACAGGACAGUUCUCAGCAUCAGGCAUCGGUACUAUGACUGCAGGGCAUCAGUAGUCAAAAAACGUCAACUUCAAGAACUGGGAGCUGGAAUUGAAGAAGCACCUCCUGCCAGAGGCUCAGACAUCCGAGGCAGAGAGAUCUGAUCAACAAGGCCAGGCUUCAUUAAGGAGUCACCAUGACAGUUCCCCACCAUCACCUGUCCUGUCACAAUUGGAGAGCUGGAGGGACGUUGAGGCAGAUGAUAAUGUGCCAGUACCUGAGGAGGACAUGGGCCAACCCCUGAGCUCAGCUGCCUGUUCACCAGCUAUCCCCAGUCCACUAUCUCCAACCCCAGCACCCGCAUCUGUCCCAAUGGACACGUACCUUAGGG